CUUGCGUUGUAGCGACUUGAUAAGCAGCAACAUUACACUCGGAAAACUAACGCAGCAGCACUAAACUCGGCGACAAGUAAUGCUGUCGGGUUUACACAUCAUAAGAACUGUUUAGGUGCCCCCAUAGUUUUUUUUUUUUUGUUAAUUAGUCGAUAACGUAUUUCGAUUUAUCGUGCAAGUAAUAUCCGCCUCUUCGAGGGCACCAGCUCAUGGACUAGGAUUGUGUUACCUGCCACAGGAGACUUAAAAACAAAAUUUCUUAAAGCCUUCGCAGAAACACCUGGUUAUACAUUAAGGUUUCUGCACCUCUUGUGUCACAGUGGUACA
rnacentral:lncRNA from 1 species